ACAAGCGUGAGAAACGGCUAGUAGGACUAAGGUCUGCAGCAGGCGCGAAACUUACACAAUGCUAGAUUACAAUUAGCGAUGUAGUGAAGAAAAAUAACGAUGUACUUCCAUCUAAACAUGGUAGUACAAUUGGAAUGAGACGACUAUAAACCAGUUAGUCGAGUAACAAAUGGAGGGCAAGUCUGGUGCCAGCAGCCGCGGUAAUUCCAGCUCCAUUAGCAUACAUUAAAGUUGUUGCGGUUAAAAAGCUCGUAGUUGAAUUUUAGGCGGGCUCUAUUGGGCUGCGUCCGUUAAGGUUCUCGUGCUAGGUUAUCCAACCUGCCCUGAACUGGGCGUCAGUUUCCUAUAGGAGCUCGCUGUUUCGUCACUUAAUCGAGUGCGAAGCGGGCUGGCACAGUGACUCACUUCGGUGGUCUUGUUUCAGCAUGUUUACCUUGAGAAAAUUAGAGUGCUCACAGCAGGCAGUUGGGGUGUAAAAGCCUCUUUAUGCUUGAAUAAUGUUGCAUGGAAUAAUAGAAUACGGCCUCGGUUCUAUUCUGUUGGUCUUAUAGAACAACAAACAAGUUGGUUGGGGCGAUCAAAAGUUCGUUUGUGAGUGUGGCUUGAAGGCUGUUCAAAUGUUGUGUUACCUAGGGGUAAAACUCUAGUGUCUCGCGUUUGUCUCGGUUCUCCUAGUCAAUCAAAGCACUCCUUAUUGGGCUAGCCUUUCUAAUCAACUGAGGCAAUGGUUAAAAGAAAUAGUCGCGGCGGCAUCAGUACUGCAUCGUGAGAG
rnacentral:rRNA from 1 species